rnacentral:snoRNA from 1 species
UCUGAGGCCUAUCCCGACAGACUCCUCACAGUGAGCCUUAGUUGUUGGAAAUGCCUCAAAGAACAAACCUGUGGUUUCGCUUUACCCUCAAAGCUACUGCCAUUGGCCCUGUGGGAUAUCACUGCAGAACAAAU